rnacentral:misc_RNA from 1 species
GUGAAUCAUCGAAUUUUUGAACGCAAAUUGCACUCUCUUCGGAGAGGAUGCCUGUUUGAGGGUCAGUUUAAAUAAAAAUCGAGUUGUUGCUGUUUUGUGACCCAUCGGAAUUGGUUUAUCUUUUACCUUUUAAAAAGUUUAAUUGACCUAAAAUUGAUACCUUUUGCAUCUCAGACGUACAUAAGAAUAUUUUUUUAUCCGUCCGGAGUUGCCAACUUUUUAUUAUGUAUGACCAUGCUGUUGUUGGCAUCGUACCUAUAAUAUACUCAUAUUUUUACCUCCAUUCAGGUAGGAGUACCC